CUAGAAAAGUCUUACACACAAACCCUAGGUCAAUUCUUCAAGUUAUAGUCGAUUUCGGGGGAUUUCGGAAGGGUUUUUGCUUGGUUUUCGAUCCGUUGAUCAACCCUACAGGUUGUCGAGGAAACUUGUCAAGAACGGUAAACACAUUUGUGACUGUUGAGAACUCCAUCUAGGAUAAGCAGGUUUCAGCUAGAGAAAAAAUUUAGCUCGUGAGAUGGGUAGAUGCAAUAAAGAAGAUUAGUAUAGAUUGUUGAAUACUUAGACUUCACAUAGCCUAUGUUUUGGCUACAUUAUUUACGUUUAUGUUACAUGUAAUAUUG